rnacentral:ribozyme from 13 species
UGCAAAAAAAACAGAAAAAAGGAGAGAAAGCAAAGAAAAAAAAGAAAAAAGAGAGAAAAACAUCAAACUAAACAAGGUCCAAGUGGCUCAACUUGUUUGUCUUCAUCAACUCCCAUCUCCCUCUUCUU